rnacentral:rRNA from 1 species
UACGGGGGGGGCAAGCGUUGUUCGGAAUUACUGGGCGUAAAGGGCUCGUAGGUGGCCAACUAAGUCAGACGUGAAAUCCCUCGGCUUAACCGGGGAACUGCGUCUGAUACUGGAUGGCUAGAGAUUGGGAGAGGGAUGCGGAAUUCCAGGUGUAGCGGUGAAAUGCGUAGAUAUCUGGAGGAACACCGAUAGCGAAGGCAGGUCUCUGGGCAUUAACUGACGCUGAGGAGCGAAAGCAUGGGGAGCGAACAGG